CUACGGGUUGCAGCAGUAGGGAAUCUUAGACAAUGGGGGAAACCCUGAUCUAGCCAUGCCGCGUGAGUGAUGAAGGCCUUAGGGUUGUAAAGCUCUUUCGCUGGGGAAGAUAAUGACGGUACCCAGUAAAGAAACCCCGGCUAACUCCGUGCCAGCAGCCGCGGUAAUACGGAGGGGGUUAGCGUUGUUCGGAAUUACUGGGCGUAAAGCGCGCGUAGGCGGGCUAUUAAGUCAGGGGUGAAAUCCCGGGGCUCAACCCCGGAACUGCCUUUGAUACUGGUAGUCUUGAGUUCGAGAGAGGUGAGUGGAAUUCCGAGUGUAGAGGUGAAAUUCGUAGAUAUUCGGAGGAACAUCAGUGGCGAAAGCGACUCACUGGCUCGAUACUGACGCUGAGGUGCGAAAGUGUGGGGAGCAAACAGGAUUAGAUACCCCUGUAGUC
rnacentral:rRNA from 1 species